AUGAAGCAAAGGUCUGCACCUACAUGUUAUCAGAAGUCAGGUCUUAGACAAGGUAAUGUUUUUCUAUCUGAUGAACUAGACAAGGUGUGCUCAGGUGACGCUACGGCAAAGGGCGGCGGCUCGGCUGAAGAGGGUUUGUUCGGCAGCGAUGUGGCAUGCUCGGGCCCAUGUGCGGAUGCGGUGGAGGGUGACACCGUGGCUACGACAGAGGACAGCGCUGGGCACAUGGGUUGGGCCAGGGCGCUGCUGCAGACUCGGUAUCGAGCGUGGCUGGAUGCUCGGCUGGGUUACUGGCCUCCGCAUCGCCAGCGUGCUUGUCCUCCGGUGUGGCUGCACAGUCAGGCCAGGGCAUGGCUGGGUCCUUGGCCUCGGGUACAUGAGCUUAUCCAGAAGGAUUAA
rnacentral:rRNA from 1 species